CCGAGCUGCGGGCCGCGGCCGAGCAGGCCGUGGCGCAGCAGCCGCCGACGAGCGGCCGGGACGGCUGAGCGGCCGGGCUCAGUUCAGGGCCGCGGCCC
rnacentral:tRNA from 1 species